rnacentral:rRNA from 1 species
GUGCCAGCAGCCGCGGUAAUACGUAGGGUGCAAGCGUUAAUCGGAAUUACUGGGCGUAAAGCGUGCGUAGGCGGUUGCGCAAGACAGGUGUGAAAUCCCCGGGCUUAACCUGGGAAUUGCACUUGUGACUGUGCGGCUGGAGUGCGGCAGAGGGGGAUGGAAUUCCGCGUGUAGCAGUGAAAUGCGUAGAUAUGCGGAGGAACACCGAUGGCGAAGGCAGUCCCCUGGGCCUGCACUGACGCUCAUGCACGAAAGCGUGGGGAGCAAACAGGAUUAGAUACCCUUGUAGUCC